CAAAAACAUAGCUAUGUGGUAGUACUCAUAGUAUUUUCUGCUCAAUGAGGGAUUAAAUAGCCGCAGUACCCUGACUGUGCAAAGGUAGCGUAAUAAGUUGUCUUUUAAUUGAAGUCUCGAAUGAAUGAAUAUAUGGGGAUCCUCUUUACCAGUGAUAUAAAUUGAAAUUGCUAAGUGAGUGCAAAUACUUACAGUAUUUAAUAGACGAGAAGACCCUAGAAAUUUUAAUUAUCAUUUUUGUUGGGGCAACAUAGUACCAAGUAAUUUACUAUAUGUGUAUGAAAUAUAUUGGAAAGUUUAAAUUACUCUAGGGAUAACAGCAUAAUUAACUAACGUUUGUGACCUCGAUGUUGGACUAGGAAGUUAUAACUUAAAAGGUCAUUAAUUAAGCUCUGUUCGAGU
rnacentral:rRNA from 1 species